GGUAGCGUGGCCGAGUGGUCUAAGGAUCUGGAUUUAGCCUCCAGUCUCUGAGGAGGCGUAGGUUCGAGUCUCCCCGCUGCCACCA